AUUAAUGUAUGAUACAGUCCCUCUAUUGUGAGUCUCGAUCAGAUGGUAGGUCAUAGAUAAAUCAUCAAAUCUUAUCAUCAGUCAUAUGAUAGAUUUAAUUAGCUUGAGUCUAUGUAUGAUUUUCAUAAAAAUUUUUUUCUAUCAAUCACACUGCUAUGGCCAUAGACUUAAGAACUUAGCUUUUUAAAUCUUAUAGGACUACUCUCUUUUAUUA
rnacentral:lncRNA from 1 species